CCGUGGUCAACUACCCUGUGGACCGCCAUAACCUCGGGAAACUGAGGCUAAUAGCGGAUAGCGCUCUCGAGCUGGAAUAGCCGAGAGCGCGAAACGUUCCGGCGCCACAGGAUGUGACUGCGGCCGAUUAGGUAGAUGGUGGGGUAACGGCCCACCAUGCCGAUAAUCGGUACGGGUUGUGAGAGCAAGAGCCCGGAGACGGACUCUGAGACAAGAGUCCGGGCCCUACGGGGCGCAGCAGGCGCGAAACCUUUACACUGCGCGACAGCGCGAUAGGGGGACACCGAGUGCGAGGGCAUAGAGCCCUCGCUUUUGUGUACCGUAAGGUGGUACACGAAUAAGGGCUGGGCAAGACCGGUGCCAGCCGCCGCGGUAACACCGGCAGCCCAAGUGAUGGCCGCUAUUAUUGGGCCUAAAGCGUCCGUAGCCGGCCGUUCAGGUCCGUCGGGAAAUCCACUGGCUUAACCAGUGAGCGUCCGGCGGAAACCGUUCGGCUUGGGACAGGGAGACCAGAGGGGUACGUCCGGGGUAGGAGUGAAAUCCCGUAAUCCUGGACGGACCAUCGGUGGCGAAAGCGCCUCUGGAGAACUGAUCCGACGGUGAGGGACGAAAGCUAGGGUCUCGAACCGGAUUAGAUACCCGGGUAGUCCUAGCCGUAAACGAUGCUCGCUAGGUGUGGCGCAGGCUACGAGCCUCCGCUGUGCCGUAGG
rnacentral:rRNA from 1 species